CUAGGGUGGGGGAGGUCCCUCAGCUCGGAUUGUGAGAGGGUGCAGGGCAGGCCGAGGGACCCCUCCCAGUGCAGG
rnacentral:pre_miRNA from 1 species